AAAGAAAAAAAUAGAAAAUCAAAAGCCAAAAAUAUGCAUUUAAAUUUUUGUGCUAAAGGUUGUGAUUAGACAACAGUUCUCUAAGCUCUCAAGUUUUAUCUUAUUAAAGGUUUUGAUGUAAAUUGUAAGAAGUAGAUACAUUGAGAUAGUCUAUCUAACUCCAAGUCUUUAGCUUACUAUCCAAAAAUAUCCCACCUUCACCUAAGCCCCGUUAUAACCCAAAAAGUCCUCUGAAAGUGUAUGCAUAAUUAUAUUGUGAUUGUUGUAUAGAAUUCUUUCAAGCCUAUGGUAGGAGGAUGCAUGAUCUAGGAUUUGAGUGAUAUUCUUAACCCUUAAACACUUGAGAGAAUUUGGUGAGAUUGUGUGAAGAGAGAGAUUUGAACCUGAUGGAUAAGUGUUGAAUGAAUUGCAUUGCGUUCUUGAUUGAUUGUUUGUAGAUGAAAGUGAUCUUGAGUAUGAUGUCUUUGCUUGUUGACAUGUUUGCUAAUAUUGAUUAUGAAAAUAGAUUGACAGGAAAGUUUGGUCAUGUGUUUGAAGCUGAAUUGCACUCUCACUUUUUGAAGCUUUGUUCCUUGAGGACAAGUAACAGAUUAAGUUUGGGGUUGUGAUGAUCUCUCGUCAAAUGUAGUUUUUAGAGUCUUUUUAAUUAAGUUUUAG
rnacentral:lncRNA from 1 species